CAGCGUAUACAGGCAGGCAGGGAUGCGUGAAAGGGACAGAGGAACAAUGGAAAUGGAAAUAAAAUAUAAACACGCAAUUUCGCUAGGCAACCACCGCUAUUGGUAAAAGCCUAUAAUGGUCAAGCGACAUUUUCUCAUGUUCUCAACUCUCGUCGAGAGACUUCAGGGGCUAUCACACGUAAAAGGAAUAGUGAUGAACAGCGUCGAUUAACAUGGGUUAUUAUAUCUAUAGCUAUGAGGAACAGCGAGGAACAAACUCGCUGUUCCUUAUAGCUAUAGAUAUAGUAACCAGGGUGAGUUAGGGCGGUCAACACGUGUGCCUGAAGUGCGUCAUCAUGUGCUCGCCCGAAUUUUCCACCACCACAUACGCCCAGCGGACCGACGCUGAUUCGAGCUCGUAGUUCUGUAAGUCCGCGCGGAGUCGCUCUGAUUUGUCGAAACUACGGGUGUGUUCCAGAGGGAACGCCAGCAGCGGUACAGCAGUCCGGUCCGCGUUCGAAAUUCCGCUGCUGUACUGUUACUGUGAAAUCGUUCCGCGUCAGCUGUUUGCAUGGUAUCUUUUUUUCUUUAAAAUCAUUAUUAUUGUAUCUUACAAUUACAGUUUCUAUGUAAUUAUUGAUUCGAGGAAUUCUUCGACGUUCACGACGCGGAAUGAAAAACAUGAUCGCGUCAUUUUCAUCAUCACUGUUUUCACUACUAGAAGACGAUAAAAAGUUAUCUAGCAAGAUUAGAUCUUCCAUUUCGUGAUUUAAAUUAGGUUACAACUGCAAACAGUACAAACAGAAUCAGCUGACGUGGAACGAUUUCACAGUAACAGCACCGGAAUUUCGAACGCGGACCGGACUGCUGUACCGCUGCUGGCGUUCCCUCUGGAACGCCCUCAACGCCAGCAGCAGAGGUCUUGCAGCAUCACCGCCGCUCCGGAGUCAGAUAAUUAGUAGAUUCUUGUAUUUAGGUUGUUUGAGACAAUAUACAUCCUUGAAACUGGUUUGACUACAAA